rnacentral:rRNA from 1 species
AACGAACGCUGGCGGCGCGUUUUAAGCAUGCAAGUCGAACGGUAUUUUUGUUGCUUGCAACAAAAAGAGAGUGGCGAACGGGUGAGUAACACGUAAGUAAUUUUUCUAUAUGACUGGAAUAGCCAGUGGAAACAUUGGGUAAUGCCAGAUAUUUUGUGUAAGGGAAACUAUACAUAAAAAAGGGUAUUUUUAUGCCGCAUAUAGCGAAGCUUGCGGCUGAUUAGCUUGUUGGUAAGGUAAAGGCUCACCAAGGCGACGAUCUCUAGCUGGUCUGAGAGGAUGAUCAGCCACACUGGGACUGAGACACGGCCCAGACUCCUACGGGAGGCAGCA